GACAGGUGUGCAGGGACAGGUGUGGGGACAGGUGUGCAGGGACAGACAGGUGUGGGGACAGCCCCAGGUGUGCAGGGACAGCCCCCAGGGACACAGGUGACCCCUCCUAACCCCCCCAGGUACACAGGUGACAUCCCAGGGACACAGGUGACACCCC